GAUGAACGCUGGCGGCGUGCCUAAUACAUGCAAGUCGAGCGAACAGACGAGGAGCUUGCUCCUCUGACGUUAGCGGCGGACGGGUGAGUAACACGUGGAUAACCUACCUAUAAGACUGGGAUAACUUCGGGAAACCGGAGCUAAUACCGGAUAAUAUAUUGAACCGCAUGGUUCAAUAGUGAAAGACGGUUUUGCUGUCACUUAUAGAUGGAUCCGCGCCGCAUUAGCUAGUUGGUAAGGUAACGGCUUACCAAGGCAACGAUGCGUAGCCGACCUGAGAGAGUGAUCGGCCACACUGGAGCUGAGACACGGUCCAGACGCCUAAGGGAGGCAGCAGUAGGGAAUCUUCCGCAAUGGGCGAAAGCCUGACGGAGAAACGCCGCGUGAGUGAUGAAGGUCUUCGGAUCGUAAAACUCUGUUAUUAGGGAAGAACAAAUGUGUAAGUAACUAUGCACGUCUUGACGGUACCUAAUCAGAAAGCCACGGCUAACUACGUG
rnacentral:rRNA from 1 species